GAUGAACGCUGGCGGCGUGCCUAAUACAUGCAAGUCGAGCGAACAGACGAGGAGCUUGCUCCUCUGACGUUAGCGGCGGACGGGUGAGUAACACGUGGAUAACCUACCUAUAAGACUGGGAUAACUUCGGGAAACCGGAGCUAAUACCGGAGAAUAUAUUGAACCGCAUGGUUCAAUAGUGAAAGACGGUUUUGCUGUCACUUAUAGCUGGAUCCGCGCCGCAUUAGCUAGUUGGUAAGGUAACGGCUUACCAAGGCAACGAUGCGUAGCCGACCUGAGAGGGUGAUAGGCCACAUGGGAACUGAGACACGGUCAAGACUCCUGCGGGAGGCAGCAGUAGGGAAUCUGCCGCAAUGGGCGAAAGCUUGACGGAGCAACGCCGCGUGAGUGAUGAAGGUCUUCGGAUCGUAAAACUCUGUUAUUAGGGAAGAACAAAUGUGUAAGUAACUAUGCAUGUCUUGACGGUACCUAAUCAGAAAGCCACGGCUAACUACGUG
rnacentral:rRNA from 1 species